GGACAACCUGCCCUUAGGUUGGGUAUAAACCCGGGAAACUGGGUAUAAUCCCCUAUAAGUCUCGGCUGCUGGAAUGCACCGAGAUUAAAAGCUCCGGCGCCUAAGGAUGGGUCUGCGGCCUAUCAGGUAGUAGUGGGUGUAGCGUACCUACUAGCCUACGACGGGUACGGGUUGUGAGAGCAAGAGCCCGGAGAUGGAUUCUGGGACACGAAUCCAGGCCCUACGGGGUGCAGCAGGCGCGAAAACUUUACAAUGCUGGCAACAGCGAUAAGGGAACCUCGAGUGCCAGGUUACAAAUCUGGCUGUCGAGAUGCCUAAAAAGCAUUUCAUAGCAAGGGCCGGGCAAGACCGGUGCCAGCCGCCGCGGUAACACCGGCGGCUCGAGUGGUAACCGUUAUUAUUGGGUCUAAAGGGUCUGUAGCCGGCCGGAUAAGUCUCUUGAGAAAUCUGGCAGCUUAACUGUCAGGCUUUCAGGAGAUACUGUCUGGCUCGAGGCCGGGAGAGGUGAGAGGUACUUCAGGGGUAGGGGUGAAAUCUUGUAAUCCUUGAAGGACCACCAGUGGCGAAGGCGUCUCACCAGAACGGACCUGACGGCAAGGGACGAAAGCUAGGGGCACGAACCGGAUUAGAUACCCGGGUAGUCCUAGCCGUAAACGAUACUCGCUAGGUGUCGGCCACGGUGCGACCGUUGUCGGUGCCGUAGGGAAGCCGUGAAGCGAGCCACCUGGGAAGUACGGCCGCAAGGCUGAAACUUAAAGGAAUUGGCGGGGGAGCACCACAACGGGUGGAGCUUGCGGUUUAAUUGGAUUCAACGCCGGAAAUCUUACCGGGACCGACA
rnacentral:rRNA from 1 species